rnacentral:rRNA from 1 species
ACGUACGGGUCUACCCGUGCGCUGACAAAAGCAUGAGAGGAAGUCNCGGCUUAACUUUCGUGCCAGCAGCCGCGGUAAGACGAAGGUGGCUAGCGUUAUUCGGAUUUACUGGGCAUAAAGCGCGCGUAGGCGGCUUGGUAAGUCGGAGGUGAAAGCCCGCAGCUCAACUGCGGAACUGCCCCCGAUACUGUCGAGCUUGAGUGCAGGAGGGGUGACUGGAACUUCCAGGUGUAGCGGUGAAAUGCGUAGAUAUCUGGAGGAACACCGGAGGCGAAGGCGGGUCACUGGACUGCAACUGACGCUGAGGCGCGAAAGCUAGGGGAGCGAACAGGAUUAGAUACCCUGGUAGUCCUAGCUGUAAACGAUGGGUACUAGGCAAUGGGGGUCCGAUGCCCUCGUUGCCGGAGCUAAUGUGUUAAGUACCCCGCCUGGGGAGUACGGCCGCAAGGUUGAAACUCAAAGGAAUUGACGGGGGCUCACACAAGCGGUGGAGUAUGUGGUUUAAUUCGAAGCAACGCGCAGAACCUUACCAGGGUUUGAAAUGCACGGAUUAGCUCCCUGAAAGGGGAGUGACGCCUUCUGGUGGAACGUGCACAGGUGUUGCAUGGCUGUCGNAANCUCGUGUUGUGAAAUGU